UACGAAGGGGGCUAGCGUUGUUCGGAUUUACUGGGCGUAAAGCGCACGUAGGCGGAUCGUUAAGUCGGGGGUGAAAUCCUGGAGCUCAACUCCAGAACUGCCUUCGAUACUGGCGAUCUCGAGUCCGGAAGAGGUGAGUGGAACUCCUAGUGUAGAGGUGAAAUUCGUAGAGAUUGGGUGGAACACCAGUGGCGAAGGCGCCUAUCUGGCUGACAACUGACGCUGAGACUCGAAAGCGUGGGGAGCAAACAGG
rnacentral:rRNA from 1 species